rnacentral:rRNA from 1 species
AGCGAACGCUGGCGGCAGGCCUAACACAUGCAAGUCGAACGGAUCCUUCGGGAUUAGUGGCGGACGGGUGAGUGACACGUGGGAACGUGCCCUUUGGUUCGGAACAACUCAGGGAAACUUGAGCUAAUACCGGAUGUGCCCUUCGGGGGAAAGAUUUAUCGCCAUUGGAGCGGCCCGCGUCUGAUUAGCUAGUUGGUGAGGUAAAGGCUCACCAAGGCGACGAUCAGUAGCUGGUCUGAGAGGAUGAUCAGCCACAUUGGGACUGAGACACGGCCCAAACUCCUACGGGAGGCAGCAGUGGGGAAUCUUGCGCAAUGGGCGAAAGCCUGACGCAGCCAUGCCGCGUGAAUGAUGAAGGUCUUAGGAUUGUAAAAUUCUUUCACCGGGGACGAUAAUGACGGUACCCGGAGAAGAAGCCCCGGCUAACUUCGUGCCAGCCGCCGCAGUAAGAC